AAUAAUUAACAAAAAGAAAAUAUACAAAAAACAAAAAGUUAAAGGAAAAGAGAAAACGCUGGAAUUUAUAGAAGUUCGCUCUAAUGUAGUGACCUACUUCACUCCUUAAGACGUGAUCUUAAGAGUAUUCAACCAUCUUUAUAAGCUUUUAGUAGGUUGAGCUUACGAACCCCCUUACAAAAGGAAAAUGAAGUUUAAAGUUCACUUCAGACCAAACAGUAAACAACGGAUUAGAGCGAUUAGUCUUCCUUCCAAACACGAACUUGAAGCAGUUAAUCCCCAAGCUAAACUGAGAAUGUUUACAUACUUAUCUCAAACCAAAAGUGGAGCUUUUAAUUGGAUAUCCUCUUAACCAAAUUGAAGUUUUACACCAACUGACCUUGAACCGAAUUCAGAUUUUAAAUUAGACUAAUCUCGAAACAAUGUGAAGCUUUUACACAAACUGAGCUUAUGAACCGAGUUGAGAUUUUACACCAGAUUAAUCUCAAAUCAAGUGGAGUUUUUACACAGGCUAAACUCUCAAACUGAAACGACAAUUUAAAAACUAAAUUCUCAAACAAAGCUUUUAACGAGUUUAGUUUUGAACACAAACAAACAAACACUCCCUUAUUGGAAAAUUAUUCAACCAAAAGAGAAAUACUUCUAGGUGAAUUUACAACAUUACCCUUUCCAUAAUACAAAAUUUGUCACCAAACACUAAGACUUUCUCGAAGCAUAAUGGCUAAAUUAUAGUAAGAGAAAGUACAAAAAUUUUUUAGAGAGAGAUAGAAAGAGUGACGAGUGAGAUAGAG
rnacentral:lncRNA from 1 species